rnacentral:rRNA from 1 species
UGGGGAAUAUUGCACAAUGGGCGCAAGCCUGAUGCAGCCAUGCCGCGUGUGUGAAGAAGGCCUUCGGGUUGUAAAGCACUUUCAGCGAGGAGGAAGGUGGUGAGCUUAAUACGCUCAUCAAUUGACGUUACUCGCAGAAGAAGCACCGGCUAACUCCGUGCCAGCAGCCGCGGUAAUACGGAGGGUGCAAGCGUUAAUCGGAAUUACUGGGCGUAAAGCGCACGCAGGCGGUUUGUUAAGUCAGNUGUGAAAUCCCCGGGCUCAACCUGGGAACUGCAUUUGAAACUGGCAAGCUAGAGUCUCGUAGAGGGGGGCUAGAAUUUCCAGGUGUAGCGGUGAAAUGCGUAGAGAUCUGGAGGAAUACCGGUGGCGAAGGCGGCCCCCCUGGANGAAGACUGACGCUCAGGUGCGAAA